rnacentral:lncRNA from 1 species
ACAGUCAACUAUGAAACCGCGGCGGCGUCUGCUGAGGAAAACCCACAAGCUGUCAAGAAAGCUGCGGGAUGUUUUGCGACACAAUCUAUCAACUAUCCAAGCACUUGCCCUU